UACGUAGGGUGCGAGCGUUGUCCGGAAUUAUUGGGCGUAAAGAGCUCGUAGGCGGUUUGUCGCGUCGGCCGUGAAAUCUCCACGCUUAACGUGGAGCGUGCGGUCGAUACGGGCAGACUUGAGUUCGGCAGGGGAGACUGGAAUUCCUGGUGUAGCGGUGAAAUGACGCAGACUAUCAGGAGGAACACCGGUGGCGAAGGCGGGUCUCUGGGCCGAUACUGACGCUGGAGGAGCGAAAGCGUGGGGAGCGAACAGG
rnacentral:rRNA from 1 species